UCAAGAAGUGCGUGCAUUGUGUUCUGCUGGACUACAAAGUAACGAAAACCACAAAAGUACAAAAACUGUUUGUCAAGAGUUAUAACUGGAGCUGGCAAGAAGGAAGGACGCUUGUUAAGCAAAGAUGGCUUGGGGUCCAAAUGACUGAAGUUAUGAUGGGAGGCCUUGAGACCGUAAGGUUGCAGCCAAAAGCAGACACUUUUGAGAGCAUCUGGCAGUGUCCUUGAGUCUGAUAGAGUUCAGAAAAUUCAAGUUCUCAGUGACACAGGAAUUUGUCUAAAGCCACAUCCACAAUGGCCACCCAGCUCUGUUUUGGAUGCUUAAACCACAGCGACUCCAUUUUGGUUGUUUAAUCAUUCUUUUCUUUAAUGAUGAAAGUGGAUGUACCAUGCAUGUCUGACGGGCCACAAAACAGGCUAUUUGAGUUAGCAUGAAGUUCAAGUUAAAACAUACAUAAGCCAGAAUGACCUCCCCAUAUGCCUCAAAGUGUGAAAAAUUCCUUCCAUCAAGGUCAAGGGUCUCAUAGGACCCACCCACCUAAUCCAGGGUAAUCUCUGUCUGAAGAUUUUUUUUUUUGUGGCAUAUGGAGGUUCCCAGGCUAGGGGUGGAAUGGGAGCUACAGCUGCCGGCCUACGCCACAGUCACAGUAAUGCAGGAUCUGAGCCACAUCUGUGAACUACACCACAGAUCACGGCAAUGGGGGAUCCUUAACCCACUGAGCAAGGCCAGGAUCAAUCCCACAUCCUCAUGGAUACUAGCCAGAUUCAUUUCCACUGAACCACAACAGGAACGCCUCAAGAUCCCUAUUUAAUCAAACCUGCCAUGUCCCUUUUGCCUGUACGUUAACAUAAGACAGGUCAUGGGGGUGAGGACAAGGGUAUUUGGAGGUUGUCACCAUUCCACCCUCCACAGGGGGCCUCAGCACUCACCAGUCUGCCCACAGCCACCUAGCCAGGCCCUGAGCCCUUAGGCUCCGGUAAUGAGGAGUAUGGGCACCUUGGUAAGGCCUUCCUGCGUGGUGCAGCCAGGUCUCCAGGUUUGGUGGGAUUACUGCUGGCCAAGGGAAGUCCACCCCUUUGCCUGGUACCCUCAGCCUGAGUCCAGCUGCUAAGAGCCCAACACCUCUGACUUGGUUGCUGGACAUUCUGCCGCCAGACAGAGGCUUUGUUACUAACACAUUCUGCGGCCCACAUAUUCCACUGAUGUGAAUAAUGCUGCAGGCUGGGUUUUGGGAAACAGAUUCUUAGAAUUUCUUUAGUGUGUGGAAUGUUUAUCAAGAAAUGCGCUUGGGAGUUCCUGCUGAGGCGCAGUGGGUUAAGACUCAGAAUGCAGCAGCUUGGAUGGCUGAGGAGGUGCAGGUUCAAUCCCUAGCCUGGUGCAAGUGUGUUAAAGAUCCAGCACUGGAGUUCCCAUCGUGGUGCAGCAGAAACGAAUCCCACCAGGAACCAUGAGGUUGCAGGUUCGAUCCCUGGCCUUGCUCAGUGGGUUAAGGACCUGGCAUUGCUGUGAGAUGUGGUGUAGGUUGCAGAUGUGGCUCAGAUACUGCAUUGCUGUAGCUGUGGUGUAGGCCAGCAGCUACAACUCUGAUUGGACCCCUAGCCUGAGAACCUCCAUAUGUUGCGGGUGUAUCCCUAAAAAGCCAAAAAAGAAAAAAAGAAAAAAAAAGGCAAUGUGCUUGGAAAGGAAAGAAAGGAGGUGGCCCCACAAGAGCUUGGCUGAUCCCCUGGGGAGGGAGCUCUGGCCCCAGAACCAUCUGAGUUAGGGAGUCAGGCAGAGGGCCGGCUUUUGUCCCUCUCCUGGCCAGCCGUGGGGGUCUGAGCAGCUGCAGUUAGACAACGUGGAAGGAGCAGAGCUGAAGGCUGAGGGCUGAGAGCAUAGUGUCUGCCUCUGCCCCUGUAAGCGCCUCUCGGACACACCUCUUCACAGAUGUUCUGGAAGCAGCUCCUUCAAGAUUCCCACAGGCCUCUCUUAACAGAUUGGUAGGGAAGUUCCCGUUGUGACUCAGUGGAUUAAAAACCUGACUGAUAUCGAUGAGGGUGUGGGUUCAAUCCCUGGCCUCACUCAGAGGGUUAAGGAUCCAGUGUUGCCAUGACUGUGGUGGAGGUGGCAGAUCCUGUGUGGCUGUGGCUGUGGCCAGCAGCUGCAGCUCCAGUUCGACCUAUAGCCCAGGAACUUCCCUAUGUCCCAUGUGCAGCCCCAAAAACCAAAAACGAACAAACAAGCCAAGGUUGUAGGUCAGUUGCUGGUCCCAAGGCCACCUCUGGUACCGUCAUCUCCCUUCCGCGUCAUCCACUCCAGCCCCCCUUGCCCGCCCGCCAGCUCCUCUGCUGGUCUCAGGGGCUUAACCACUGUGAUGACUCAGAACCUGAGAAGUACUCAACUUUGGUCUACACGUCCCAGGCUGGAGUUGUGUUCAUUUACCAUCGACAUGGAGCAAGGGAGGGCCCACAGGCACACACAUCACCUCUCCCCGCCUCCAGGUCAAACGCCCCCUCAGGACAGUGACUCUUCCAGCCUGCUGGUGACCUUGACACAUGCCCAGAUGAAAAGGGCAGCUUCUAUUUCAAGGAGUCUCAUCCUACGUUCACAGGCAGAAAUCUACUUCUGGGAACCAAGACAUCUCAGCCUGCAGGGUUCAGGUUAAGAGGGUGGAGGCGCAGAGGCUCCAAACGGGUCCCUGGGAGUCCUGGAAACCAGCCCUGGGCUCCUGGAGCCAGGUCUUCUUUCUGCUGGGGACACAAUCACCACGUAAAGAGGUACUGGACCCAAAGUGCAUCCGGCACCCUGGGGGCUGCCCCCCCCCCCCACUUCUGUGAGGCAGUGCCCCUGGGCUGGCACUCUCCCUUGAACAGCCCCCCCCCCGACCCCCUAUGGGACAGGCAGCUCCCCUGGUCACAGGCCUCUCCUGCACCUUUUGCUGGGAGAAGGAUGCUGGGAGAUUGCAUGGUCUGUGACAUCCUAGGCUGUGAAUCAAACACUCCGUCAGCAAGUAAUCAUGGUUCUGAUGGAGGCCUUGGGGCAGGGAAGUUACAUCAAUGCUCAAGAGUGUCUACUUCUGUCAGAAGGAGCCACUGUCCUUCUAGGCCUAAAGGGGUCCAGCAAGUUCAACUGGCCAUCAAGUCUUCUUGAAUGACUAUGCAGGCUGUCACUCUUAAUGGCAGAUUGGAAUCUGGGGCAGAUCGCCUUUGACAGGUGGACAUCCAUGCUGCUGGCUCCAUUCACAGUCCCAUCUUGCCACUGCCGUGCCUGCACUGGGACAGUCCACAAGGAGACUGGCUGGUCGUUCUGUCUCCUUGGCUGCUCAGCACCAGGACAGCCAACAACGGAUGCUGGCUGGUUGUUCUACUCCUUGGCUGCUCAGCACCCCUUUGACGCUGAGUGCUCUCCAGGUAACACAGGUGACAUGAGUCUCACCACACUGUCUGCUGUUCCCCUAAGUCCAUCCACGGCUCCUGCCCCAGGUCUCCCAGUCUUCUUCUUUCCAGGCUCCUGAAUCCAGACAAGCCACCUGUCACUGCCCAGGAGUCCAUACAUAUUCUCAUCUUGGGCUACUCUUCUUUCCUCACAAAGUGGACCACCAGUUGCUCUGCCCCAGAUUCUGCCCAUUGCAAGGUCUUCCCCUUGAAAAACCUUUCAAGACCUCCGCUGGUUGAGGGUGAACACAGCUGCCAUUUAUCUGCAGCCUACACAUAGGUACCAAGCCCACUUGACCAGGAGCUAGAAUUGGAGCCGGAAUCAUUCCACAUCUGUACUGGGUUGGAUGGUGUUCCUCCAAAACUCAUGUCCAACUAGAGCCUGUGGAUGGGACCUCUGGACACUAGGUCUUUGCAGGUGCAGUCAAGCCAAGAUGAGGUCAUGCUGGAUUGGGGUUGGCCCUAAAGCCAACCGUUGGUGACCUUAGAGGAGAAGAGGGGGUUCUGGACACACAGAUACACACAGGUGUGGCGGCCACAUGGUGACAGAGAUGAAGUUAUGUUGCCACAAGCCCAGGCUUGCCAACAACCACCAGGAGCUGGAAGGGGCAAAAAAAGAAUUCUUCCAAAAGGGCUUUGGAGAAAGCCCUGCUGACACCUUUUUCUAAUCUCUGGGACUCUGAAAUAAUCCACUUCUAGUGUUCUAAGCCACCAAGCUUAUGGUAAUUGAUUGGAGAGCAGCCACAGAAAGUUAAUACAACAGCCUCCGUAUUGAUUUGAUCUAAUUUCCAAUCAUUCUAUCCUCUUACUUGGGUGCAAUUAUUUAUUAAAGAACUUUUACAACACAUUACUCCAAAUACAUGUUCGAUACACAAUUCCAAUGAAAGUAAGUGAACAGUAGAGGAAUACACAAAGUAAAUACUGCAACACUGAAGUGUGGCCUCACUUAUGCCACAAGAAACGCCAAACAGCGUUAUUACAUCUUUACACCUGACUUGAACUUGGGAAAUACGAACCCGAGGAAUAAUCGACAUUCUAUGAAUGUGAUAAUACACUGCCUAGCUCUAAUAGGAAAAAGCAUGAUUUUUAAGUUCAUCUCCAUUGAUUUAUGUGUUCAAAUCCACUCAAUUAAGUAGAAGAAUAUACACAUCAAAUUCUUAACUGGUAAAAUCACAACUAUAAAAUUAAGAUGCUAUCAUCACACCAUCCCUGACUAGCAUCAAAGAGCAAUAUACAAACAGAACUUCCCAACCUCUCUCUUCAAUUUUUUUUCCCAGAGUUUUGUGAAAAAUUGCAUGUGUGGGGUGGGGUGGAUGGUAGGGUAGGCAGUAUGAGCAAUUAGCCAGUACAAACUUGACCAAACCAGUCAAGUUAAAAGAGUAUAUGAAAUAAAGAAGGUCCACUAUGCGAGGUUUUAAAAUGAUCCCUUAAAGUAAAAGGUGAGAAAUUAUCCAUGUUGCAAACGCCUUUUUUCAACCUCAUGACCAAGGCAAACUACCUCAGGGUAUUUUAUUGGUUAUCUAGGCCUGAUCUUUCUACCUGGGGACUGUCACAUGCUGGGAGCCCCCUGCUCUGCACAGCUGUCCUGCUGCUGCCUGACUACAGCAGUGGGUCUGCACCCACAGAGGUCAGUGCCUGCAGGCCCAGGCCCACCCCUGCAUAGAAAUACCUGCUCAUGUCCAGAGCACAAAGCUCUUACAGAGGCUGCAGCCAGAAUACUAAAACAAGCUUGUUUAAUCAUGCAUUUUUUUUUUCAUAUUUGGUGACAUUUUGACAUCUUGGGGGUCUUCCUUCGGGGAGACACUGCCCCUCCCAGAGUAGCCAAAUCUUAGAGCAAGGGGCUCACCAAGAAGCAUGACUUUCACAGGAAAACCACCCAAUCCAGUGCCCACCCUCUGAGCCACCUCCUCUGUCUGGCUCUGACCCUCCAGGAGGCAGUACUCCUUCUACCCCAAUCACCCAGGGCCAGGACCAGCCCAUGAGACACCACCCCUAAGCCAGGUGCUCCAAACAUUACCCAGACCAGUCCAUCCCUGGCUGUUUCUUUGCCCUGUGCUCCCUCUUCCCUCCAGCCUCUGCCUCCUGAUGGGCUCUGAUUCUUCUCCCUGUGGCCCUCGGUGGCAGGGCACUGGCCUCUCCAUGUCACUCAGUCACCUCCACAAAGUCCCAUGGGUACAUUUUAACAUAACUGCUGCAGCAGGUGUGCUGGACAGAGGGGCCUGCCCCUGACUACUCCUGACCCACCAACUAGAUUCACCAAGGAGCCCCGGCUGACGGGGAGGACCUCAAAGGUCUGCCCCGCUAUGGUCCUCAUUUCCGCACAGGUACUUCGGUCCAGGCUGAUGUUCGUGGUGAUCCCCCUACUGGCACCUGAUGGCAUAUGUAAUUGGAUUGGCCCAUCUGAUUCCCUACCCCGACAGCCUUCUCCCUCCAAUCAGCCAGAGACAGAAAUGAAAAACCUCAGCUUCAGGGUACUAGAGGCUUGAAACAGGAAAAAAAAAAAUUUUUUUAAGAAAAAGAAGUAUUGGAGUUCCCGUCAUGGCUCAGUGGUUAACGAAUCCGCCUAGGAACAAUGAGGUUGCAGGUUCAAUCCCUGCCCUUGCUCAGUGGGUUACGGAUCUGGCGUUGCUGUGAGCUGUGGUGUAGGUUGCAGACACGGCUCGGAUCCCACGUUUCUGUGGCUCUGGUGUAGGCCAGUGGCCACAGCUCUGAUUAGACCCCUAGCCUGGGAACCUCCAUAUGCCACAGGAGCGGCUCUAGAAAUGGCAAAAAGACAAAAAAAAAAAAAAAAAGAGGAAAAAGAAGAAUUAUCCCCCUAGGUACAAGGGAAAAAAAUAAAAGGUAAGUACAUAGAGACCUAUCCAUCCAUGUGUGUAUAUGUGUAUAAAUUUAAUGCAAACAUCAUAAAAUAUAUACUUAAUUUAUGAUGUUUGCAUGAAAUUUAAAAUUUAAUAACAAAAUAUAGAUAACGAAAAUUUUAAAAGGGAAACCUCACUAAAGUGGAAUGGGGAGGCCAAAAGGGCUGUUCAUGCAGGACCACUCCAGCAUCAACGAUAGGAAGCACUGUCAAUUACAGACCCCAACAGGUGAAUCAUCCACAAGAAAGAAGCAUCAAUUACGAGCGGAGGCCUCAACAGGGAAAGGUGUACGUUGUAUCUCAUAUUAAAAAAAAAAAUCAGCUACUGAAUAAACGCAUUAGUGCUGGUAAAAUAACAAUUUUAAAGUCAUCCAUCCAUACACAUACAUAACUACACUAAAACAAAGAUCCACAGUUUGAUCCAACUGGAAAUCCAAAAGUUAUAUACUAAAAGUAUAUAUGACAAAUAAUAUGAUUAGCAGAUAUUUGGUCCUGUCCUAAACAGUCACUGAGACCUUUGGUCCACAUCAAAUGUCCCUUGAUAUUUGGUCUUGUCAAAAAAUGUCCAUGCUUAGGCAAUGUCUCUGGCUUCAAUUAGCCCAGAACAUUUAUUUAUAUUUUUCAUUUACAGGAUUAAUACAUUAAAAAUACUAUCAUGUUUUGUUGGCCCAAAAGCUGUGUUGUAACCGUAUUGCCAAUAAUAACCCUUCCUGCCCCACUAGCGUUGCUGGUAACGGCACCUGGGAUCAGGUAGAUAGAUCAGGGCUUGAAACCUGCAGGAGAGCAGGGCUGGGGGAGAAGCUGCAGAUAGAGAAAUGCACACAGGAUGACAAGUGGAGGCUGGGGUCUUGUGACACAUGGUGGAUUAGUAAGUUGCUUGGUUGGACAUGGUUGGGUCCUUUAAUAAUGGUGGAGUCUGGAAGGAGCUCAGUCAAGAUACCACAUAGAAGAGGCAGUGAAUGCAGUGGCGUGAACCCUGUAUAGAACAUCUCCUUUUAGGAGGAGUGAGAACAGGUGUGGCUCUCCUACCACACAGGGAUCGGGUGUCAUAGCCUUGGGGGGCAGAGGGUACCAAGCAUCAAAUUAACCCCCUACAACCCUCCUAUUCCCAGGGUUCAUGGAUGAUGUUCCCUUUAAACCAGUAUUAUUUAGAGGUACGAUCAUGGCAGACCCGUAAGAAACAUCUGCCACUAUUUGAAGAGGUGUCAGUGAGUGUGACUCUCUCACACGUGGGUCAACUGACAUAGCUACCACACCCUUGGUACCUAUUGACUGGAUGACCUCAGGUGUCAAGUCCCUAAAGCUUUAGUAAGGUUUUCCCUGCCAGUAAACCAGUUACUACUGGAGAGACAGCUACAAAAGGGGGAAGAAAACAACCCUUCUUUGUUGCUAAGCAAUACAACAUCUUUAUUCAAAAAUUCUCAGCAGAAUAUGGCAGGACUGGUAUACUCGCAAAAAGAAAAGCCAAUACUGCAUUAUCAAAACUUUUGUUACCGUCUCCACUCUUUUUUUUUUUUUUUUUUUUUUGUCUUUUUGCCAUUUUCUUUGACUGCUCCCGCAGCAUAUGGAAGUUCCCAGGCUAAGGGUCCAAUCGGAGCUGUAGCCACUGGCCUACGCCAGAGCCACAGCAAUGCGGGAUCUGAGCCGCGUCUGCGACCUACACCACAGCUCACAGCAACGCUGGAUCCUUAACCCACUGAACAAGGCCAGGGAU
rnacentral:lncRNA from 1 species